rnacentral:rRNA from 1 species
UAUGUAGGGGGCGAGCGUUGUCCGGAUUUAUUGGGCGUAAAGAGCGUGUAGGCGGUUCGGUAAGUCUGUCGUGAAAUCCUGAGGCUCAACCUUGGACGUGCGAUGGAUACUGCCGGGCUAGAGGAUGGUAGAGGCGAGUGGAAUUCUCGGUGUAGCGGAUGAAAUGCGCAGAUAUCGGGAGGAACACCAGUAGCGAAGGCGGCUCGCUGGGCCAUUCCUGACGCUGAGACGCGAAAGCUAGGGGAGCGAACAGG